rnacentral:lncRNA from 1 species
UACAUUCGAAUCGAAACCAAUUUUAAAUAUCUGACAAUGUGUUUGAAUCCCAACAGUGAAAAGACCCAAUUUUGCACAAGUUGAGAUGAUUUGAUUGAGGCUAAAUUGGUCACAUAGAAAACCAUUUUGAUGUAACAGAGGUAAGACGUCUAAAUUAACACUGUUUGAAUCGUAAUAUUUGUCUUUGAAGCUUGGGUUGGUACAGUAACCAAGAUUAUUAACUGGGUAUUUCGCGAGGUAGCUAUGUGUUGUUAUAACUUGGUAAUAAAUUUGGUUCGCUACUUUUGCUUGUCUUGCCAUGUUGUACAAAGGUGAAAUGCAGGUGAUCUUAGAAUCAUUUUAUGUCAAAUCAUUCCCCCGUUUGAGAGGUUUACCACUUAGACUUACG